rnacentral:rRNA from 1 species
UACGGGGGGGGCAAGCGUUGUUCGGAAUUACUGGGCGUAAAGGGCUCGUAGGUGGCCAACUAAGUCAGACGUGAAAUCCCUCGGCUUAACCGGGGAACUGCGUCUGAUACUGGAUGGCUUGAGUUCGGGAGAGGGAUGCGGAAUUCCAGGUGUAGCGGUGAAAUGCGUAGAUAUCUGGAGGAACACCGGUGGCGAAAGCGACGCACUGGACCUCUUCUGACGCUGAGGCGCGAAAGCUAGGGGAGCAAACGGG